CCCAGUGACAUUUUAAACGGCCGCGGUACCCUGACCGUGCGAAGGUAGCAUAAUCACUUGUUCUUUAAAUGGGGACUAGUAUCAACGGCAUCACGAGGAUUUUACUGUCUCCUUUCUCCUAUCGAUGAAACUGAUCUUCCCGUGAAGAAGCGGGAAUAAAGCUAUAAGACGAGAAGACCCCAUGGAGCUUUAAACCCAGUAACAUCUCAAACCCUCCACCCCCCCAAAAGUUUUUAUGCAUUGUCCACUGGUUUUAGGUUGGGGUGACCGCGGAGCAUAACUUAACCUCCAUAGCGUACGGAGCUUCCUCCUUAUCCAAGAGCCACAUCUCAAAGAAUUAACAUAUUGACGUAAGAUGACCCAAUAAUUUUGAUCAAUGAACCAAGUUACCCUGGGGAUAACAGCGCAAUCCAUUUCUAGAGCCCCUAUCGACAAAUGGGUUUACGACCUCGAUGUUGGAUCAGGGUAUCCCAGUGGUGCAGCCGCUACUAAUGGUUUGUUUGUUCAACAAUUAAAACCCUACGUGAUCU
rnacentral:rRNA from 1 species